UCAAGUGAAGAAGCGCAUACGGUGGAUGCCUUGGCAGUCAGAGGCGAUGAAAGACGUGGUAGCCUGCGAAAAGCUUCGGGGAGUCGGCAAACAGACUUUGAUCCGGAGAUCUCUGAAUGGGGGAACCCACCUAGGAUAACCUAGGUAUCUUGUACUGAAUCCAUAGGUGCAAGAGGCGAACCAGGGGAACUGAAACAUCUAAGUACCCUGAGGAAAAGAAAUCAACCGAGAUUCCCUUAGUAGUGGCGAGCGAACGGGGAUUAGCCCUUAAGCUUCAUUGAUUUUAGCGGAACGCUCUGGAAAGUGCGGCCAUAGUGGGUGAUAGCCCCGUACGCGAAAGGAUCUUUGAAGUGAAAUCGAGUAGGACGGAGCACGAGAAACUUUGUCUGAACAUGGGGGGACCAUCCUCCAAGGCUAAAUACUACUGACUGACCGAUAGUGAACCAGUACCGUGAGGGAAAGGCGAAAAGAACCCCGGAGAGGGGAGUGAAAUAGAACCUGAAACCGUAUGCGUACAAGCAGUGGGAGCCUACUUGUUAGGUGACUGCGUACCUUUUGUAUAAUGGGUCAGCGACUUAUAUUCAGUGGCAAGCUUAACCGUAUAGGGUAGGCGUAGCGAAAGCGAGUCUUAAUAGGGCGUUUAGUCGCUGGGUAUAGACCCGAAACCGGGCGAUCUAUCCAUGAGCAGGUUGAAGGUUAGGUAACACUGACUGGAGGACCGAACCCACUCCCGUUGAAAAGGUAGGGGAUGACUUGUGGAUCGGAGUGAAAGGCUAAUCAAGCUCGGAGAUAGCUGGUUCUCCUCGAAAGCUAUUUAGGUAGCGCCUCAUGUAUCACUCUGGGGGGUAGAGCACUGUUUCGGCUAGGGGGUCAUCCCGACUUACCAAACCGAUGCAAACUCCGAAUACCCAGAAGUGCCGAGCAUGGGAGACACACGGCGGGUGCUAACGUCCGUCGUGAAAAGGGAAACAACCCAGACCGCCAGCUAAGGUCCCAAAGUUGUGGUUAAGUGGUAAACGAUGUGGGAAGGCUUAGACAGCUAGGAGGUUGGCUUAGAAGCAGCCAUCCUUUAAAGAAAGCGUAAUAGCUCACUAGUCGAGUCGGCCUGCGCGGAAGAUGUAACGGGGCUCAAACCACACACCGAAGCUGCGGGUGUCACGUAAGUGACGCGGUAGAGGAGCGUUCUGUAAGCCUGUGAAGGUGAGUUGAGAAGCUUGCUGGAGGUAUCAGAAGUGCGAAUGCUGACAUGAGUAACGACAAUGGGUGUGAAAAACCCCCACGCCGAAAGACCAAGGGUUCCUGCGCAACGUUAAUCGACGCAGGGUUAGUCGGUUCCUAAGGCGAGGCUGAAAAGCGUAGUCGAUGGGAAACAGGUUAAUAUUCCUGUACUUCUGGUUACUGCGAUGGAGGGACGGAGAAGGCUAGGCCAGCUUGGCGUUGGUUGUCCAAGUUUAAGGUGGUAGGCUGAAAUCUUAGGUAAAUCCGGGGUUUCAAGGUCGAGAGCUGAUGACGAGUCGUCUUUUAGAUGACGAAGUGGUUGAUGCCAUGCUUCCAAGAAAAGCUUCUAAGCUUCAGGUAACCAGGAACCGUACCCCAAACCGACACAGGUGGUCGGGUAGAGAAUACCAAGGCGCUUGAGAGAACUCGGGUGAAGGAACUAGGCAAAAUGGCACCGUAACUUCGGGAGAAGGUGCGCCGGCUAGGGUGAAGGAUUUACUCCGUAAGCUCUGGCUGGUCGAAGAUACCAGGCCGCUGCGACUGUUUAUUAAAAACACAGCACUCUGCAAACACGAAAGUGGACGUAUAGGGUGUGACGCCUGCCCGGUGCCGGAAGGUUAAUUGAUGGGGUUAGCGCAAGCGAAGCUCUUGAUCGAAGCCCCGGUAAACGGCGGCCGUAACUAUAACGGUCCUAAGGUAGCGAAAUUCCUUGUCGGGUAAGUUCCGACCUGCACGAAUGGCGUAACGAUGGCGGCGCUGUCUCCACCCGAGACUCAGUGAAAUUGAAAUCGCUGUGAAGAUGCAGUGUAUCCGCGGCUAGACGGAAAGACCCCGUGAACCUUUACUGUAGCUUUGCACUGGACUUUGAGCCUGCUUGUGUAGGAUAGGUGGGAGGCUUUGAAGCGUGGACGCCAGUUCGCGUGGAGCCAUCCUUGAAAUACCACCCUGGCAUGCUUGAGGUUCUAACUCUGGUCCGUGAUCCGGAUCGAGGACAGUGUAUGGUGGGCAGUUUGACUGGGGCGGUCUCCUCCUAAAGAGUAACGGAGGAGUACGAAGGUGCGCUCAGACCGGUCGGAAAUCGGUCGCAGAGUAUAAAGGCAAAAGCGCGCUUGACUGCGAGACAGACACGUCGAGCAGGUACGAAAGUAGGUCUUAGUGAUCCGGUGGUUCUGUAUGGAAGGGCCAUCGCUCAACGGAUAAAAGGUACUCCGGGGAUAACAGGCUGAUACCGCCCAAGAGUUCAUAUCGACGGCGGUGUUUGGCACCUCGAUGUCGGCUCAUCACAUCCUGGGGCUGAAGCCGGUCCCAAGGGUAUGGCUGUUCGCCAUUUAAAGUGGUACGCGAGCUGGGUUUAGAACGUCGUGAGACAGUUCGGUCCCUAUCUGCCGUGGACGUUUGAGAUUUGAGAGGGGCUGCUCCUAGUACGAGAGGACCGGAGUGGACGAACCUCUGGUGUUCCGGUUGUCACGCCAGUGGCAUUGCCGGGUAGCUAUGUUCGGAAAAGAUAACCGCUGAAAGCAUCUAAGCGGGAAACUUGCCUCAAGAUGAGAUCUCACUGGGAACUUGAUUCCCCUGAAGGGCCGUCGAAGACUACGACGUUGAUAGGCUGGGUGUGUAAGCGUUGUGAGGCGUUGAGCUAACCAGUACUAAUUGCCCGUGAGGCUUGACCAU
rnacentral:rRNA from 1 species